rnacentral:rRNA from 1 species
GUAGGUGGCAAGCGUUGUCCGGAAUUAUUGGGCGUAAAGCGCGCGCAGGCGGGUCCUUUAAGUCUGACGUGAAAGCCCACGGGCUCAACCGUGGAGGGUCAUUGGAAACUGGGGGACUUGAGUACAGAAGAGGAAAGCGGAAUUCCAAGUGUAGCGGUGAAAUGCGUAGAGAUUUGGAGGAACACCAGUGGCGAAGGCGGCUUUCUGGUCUGUAACUGACGCUGAGGCGCGAAAGCGUGGGGAGCAAACAGGAUUAGAUACCCUGGUAGUCCACGCCGUAAACGAUGAGUGCUAAGUGUUAGGGGGUUUCCGCCCCUUAGUGCUGCAGCUAACGCAUUAAGCACUCCGCCUGGGGAGUACGGCCGCAAAGGCUGA